rnacentral:rRNA from 1 species
CUCCCCCAAAAGUAUUGUUCGGAUCCUGCAUAGCAGAACCACUCGCGAACAAGUUUUUUAACUCGGGCAUCGGUUAAUACCGGAUACUCCCGGCUAUUGAUCGGAGCCUAACGGUGCCCCGGCAUCUUGCCGUGUGGUGCUAAACAACAACCCCCGGCGCGAGAAGCGCCAAGGAAUACUUUAACAAGGGCCUGAACCAUCCUCUCCCGCUCGCGGGGCACAGAGGCUUGGAGAUGGAUUCUUUCUAAACCACAACGACUCUCGGCAACGGAUAUCUCGGCUCUCGCAUCGAUGAAGAACGUAGCGAAAUGCGAUACUUGGUGUGAAUUGCAGAAUCCCGUGAACCAUCGAGUCUUUGAACGCAAGUUGCGCCUGAAGCCAUUAGGCUAAAGGCACGCCUGCCUGGGCGUCACGCAUCGCGUCACCCAUCCCCAACUCUCGUGGAUGUGGUGGAUUGUGACCUCCUGUGCCUUGCGGUGCAGUUGGUCGAAAUUCGAGUUCGGAGUUAAGGACUUCACGACAAGUGGUGGUUGGACGACCAACUCGCGUCAUGUCGUGUGCCAAACCUUCGUGGCUCUCAAGACCCUAAGGCACGUGCUACCCGACUCUUGGGUCGGAAAACUCGUGCUACGACCGCGACCCCAGGUCAGGCGGGAUUACCCGCUGAAUUUAAGCAUAUCAAUAAGCGGAGGA